AACGAACGCUGGCGGCAUGCCUAACACAUGCAAGUCGAACGAGACCUUCGGGUCUAGUGGCGCACGGGUGCGUAACGCGUGGGAACCUGCCCUUAUGUUCGGAAUAACUCCCCGAAAGGGGUGCUAAUACCGGAUAAUGUCUUCGGACCAAAGAUUUAUCGCCUUUGGAUGGGCCCGCGUUGGAUUAGCUAGUUGGUAGGGUAAAAGCCUACCAAGGCGACGAUCCAUAGCUGGUCUGAGAGGAUGAUCAGCCACACUGGGACUGAGACACGGCCCAGACUCCUACGGGAAGCAGCAGUGGGGAAUAUUGGACAAUGGGCGAAAGCCUGAUCCAGCAAUGCCGCGUGAGUGAUGAAGGCCUUAGGGUUGUAAAGCUCUUUUACCCGGGAUGAUAAUGACAGUACCGGGAGAAUAAGCUCCGGCUAACUCCGUG
rnacentral:rRNA from 1 species